rnacentral:rRNA from 1 species
AACGAACGCUGGCGGCGUGCCUAACACAUGCAAGUCGAGCGGGAAAGUUCCCUUCGGGGAGCGAGUACAGCGGCGAACGGGUGAGUAACACGUAGGUAACCUACCCUGGAGACUGGGAUAACCUGCCGAAAGGCGGGCUAAUACCAGAUAAGACCACGAGGGCUGCGGCCCAUGUGGAAAAAGAUGGCCUCUGCUUGCAAGCUAUCACUCCGGGAUGGGCCUGCGCGCCAUUAGCUAGUUGGCGAGGUAAUGGCUCACAAAGGCUGAGAUGGCUAGCUGGUCUGGGAGGAGGGCGAGCCACACCGGGACUGAGAAACGGCCCAGACUCCUACGGGAGGCAGCAGUGGGGAAUAUUGCGCAAUGGGCGAAAGCCUGACGCAGCGACGCCGCGUGGGCGAUGAAGGCCUUCGGGUCGUAAAGCCCUGUCAAGAGGGACGAAACCUCGUCGACCUAACACGUCGGCGACCUGACGGUACCUCUGAAGGAAGCACCGGCUAACUCCGUGCCAGCAGCCGCGGUAAUAC